CCAAGUGUGGUGUAGUAGUUUGAGCUUUGGACUAUGACUCUGGAGACCAGGGUUCGAAUCCCCACUUGGC